AUCAACGCUGGCGGCGUGCCUAACACAUGCAAGUCGAACGCGAAAGCCCCGCAAGGGGUAAGUAGAGUGGCAAACGGGUGAGUAACACGUGGGUGACCUGCCUUCGAGUGGGGGAUAACGUCCCGAAAGGGACGCUAAUACCGCAUGACAUCCUGCUUUUGAAAAAGCGGAGAUCAAAGCUGGGGAUUGCAAGACCUAGCGCUUGAAGAGGGGCCCGCGCCUGAUUAGCUAGUUGGUGAGGUAACGGCUCACCAAGGCGACGAUCAGUAUCCGGCCUGAGAGGGCGGACGGACACACUGGGACUGAGACACGGCCCAGACUCCUACGGGAGGCAGCAGUGGGGAAUUGUUCGCAAUAGGCGCAAGCCUGACGACGCAACGCCGCGUGGAGGACGAAGAUCUUCGGGUCGUAAACUCCUGUCGAGCGGGACGAACGCUUCGCGGAUGAAUAAUCCGCGGAAUUGACGGUACCGCUAAAGGAAGCCCCGGCUAACUCCGUG
rnacentral:rRNA from 1 species